CUUGAAGCAAUGUAAUGUGAUUUACAGGGAAGGCAUACACUGAGGGAAAGUCGGUUAAGCAGUUCCGGGUAGGCUUAACUUCCCUAGCUUCCUUUCAUAUUUACUAAUACCCGUAUCUUAUCAAACACGCUCCUGAGUAAAUGGCUGGACUGAGGUUUUACUAAGUUUCUGGGCAAGAAUCCAUGUCAAAUGAAGUGCUGCAUUCCUUUGUGAUGGAUUUCUGCAUGCACCGCUAGUGAAAUCCUGAAAAGGCCAGUUGAACGGAUGGACCACAUUCUUUAUGUUCAAGGUAAAGGCUGCCUGGGUUCAUCACACACGGUGGAACUCUUGAUUUGGUUUGAACUUGCUUUUGAGCCAAAUACUAGUCCCACACACAUACAAGAAAGACAAACACUACCAAGGGAUUUAUUUUCCACAAGAAGCUGUGCAUUACCAGCCAAAGAAAACAAACACCCCAAGAAAAAGAAGGCUCUCCUGAUGCAAUUAGAAUUUACUCAACAUUCUGUUUCUCCCUCUCUUAGAGAACAAUGAAAAACAGUUCGGUGGUUAAAGUUCAGUCUAUGACUAAAAGGAUUUUCUGUGGAAUUUCUUGACUUCUCUUUCAGCACACUUUAGAACAAUAAGCGAAUGACUUACCAGGAAAUAAAACACAGGACCUCAGAUGAGUGGGCGUUCUCCAUAGCAAACCCUGCCCACUUAACAGUUUUGCCAAGAUAUGGUCCAGAUACAGGCAUCUGAGGAUUCAUCCUGUUUUGGAGAGACUAUCCCCCAGUGUGCGUCUUGGGGAGAGGAAAUGUUCCUUAUCCAAAUAAGUCCUUACCUCUGGUUUGGCUUUCACAGUGAAGCCAAACCAGGACAGCUUGUUACACAGAGUCUGGAAAGCAGCCCUUCAUGUUGGGAUUCUGGAAUUGUGUCACUGACGAGUCAGAUUUCCAUAAGGAAAACAUACUUGGUUCUUUGCAUUAUUGGUAACCAUGUCUGCUGUGCUUUGGAAUAA
ensembl:lincRNA